rnacentral:tRNA from 1 species
GGCGCAGUGGUCUAAGACACUGCAUCUCAGUACAAGAGGCAUCACUGCAGUACCUGGUUCAAAUCCAGGCUGCGUCA